GGAGGAAAGUAGGGGAUCGCAAGACCUCACGCUUUUGGAGCGGCCGAUGUCUGAUUAGCUUGUUGGUGAGGUAAAGGCUUACCAAGGCUUCGAUCAGUAGCUGGUCUGAGAGGACGACCAGCCACACUGGGACUGAGACACGGCCCAGACUCCUACGGGAGGCAGCAGUGGGGAAUUUUGGACAAUGGGGGAAACCCUGAUCCAGCCAUGCCGCGUGAGUGAAGAAGGCCUUCGGGUUGUAAAGCUCUUUCAGCCGGAACGAAACGGUUACGAUUAAUACCCGUAACUACUGACGGUACCGGAAGAAGAAGCACCGGCUAACUACGUGCCAGCAGCCGCGGUAAUACGUAGGGUGCGAGCGUUAAUCGGAAUUACUGGGCGUAAAGCGUGCGCAGGUGGUUUUGUAAGUCAGAUGUGAAAUCCCCGGGCUUAACCUGGGAACUGCGUUUGAAAUUACAAAGCUAGA
rnacentral:rRNA from 1 species